AACCCACGACCUCUGACUCCCAAGCCCGGGCCCUUUCCGCCGAGCCACGCCGCUUCUCGAAAAGACAGCGGUGUAGAGCUGUAGAGCCGUACAGCGGACGUGGACAAUGUGAGGUUGGUGAGAUAUUCCUCCAGAGAAGACAAAUCGUCCAGGUGGAUCACGGCAGCGUCGAUGACCAGCAUGACCUGGGAGGGGAGAGGAGCGGAGUCAGCGGGAGGAAGGUCCCUGCCCCUGCCAUCUCCCCAGAGGUGGCUGUUGGACCCGGGCCCCGGUGGCCCACCUUCCCGGAUCCGGCCCGCACGCCUCGCUCCCCAGUCCACUUCCCGCGCCUCCGCUGCAUUCCCCUCACCCGCGUCCUCCCUCCCGCUGCGUGUCUGACGGACCACGGCUCACCCCACCUUCCGAAUCCGAAAAUCCCAUCCCUGCGGGAAAGUCGGGCCUCGUCUGCCCCGUCCACCCUCCCCUCUGCGUCGCUGCACUUGAUAUUCACCCUUCCCGCCGCGUUCACGAACAGGUCCUCAUAGUCGCCAUUUCCCCUUUCUGGAAGUUAUUUUCGUGUCUGUCUCCUCUUGUAGACUGUAAGCUCCUUACGGGAAGGGCUCGCGUCUACCAACCUCAACGUACUCUCCUCUACCACGCACUCAAUAGGUACCACUGAUUGAAGGGCGAUAAAGAGCCCAUUGUUGGGUAGGGACUGUCUCUAUAUGCUACCGAUUCGUACUUCCCGAGCGUUUAGUACACACAGCAAGCGCUACUCACUAAACACAGUAAGCGCUCAAUAAAUACGAUUGAAUGAAUGAA